AUGGCACCCAAGACCAGCAGAGCCAAGGGAGUGGCCAAGGACACUGGGACGAGCGAGCCGCCGGAGAGCAAGUUGACGGCGCGAUGGACGCAGCUCGCCAACUUCCCCUCGACGGUUGACGUGUUCGAGCUCCGAGACUGCUUCAAGCCGCUAUGGGGGUUCAAGACCGGGGGGAGACGACGGGGCAUCCACCCACGCGUGUCAUCCCUGCCAAUUGCGUCGAGGCCGCCCCGAAUCGGUACCUGUUCUUUGUCGAUUACUUUUCUUGCGGCCUUUGCCCCCCCUUUCUCCGAUUUCUUCAACGAUAUCAUGCACACAUUUGGCUUCCACCUUCUGGAUUUUACUCCAAACAUCAUGGCGUGA
rnacentral:rRNA from 1 species